rnacentral:rRNA from 1 species
AUUGAACGCUGGCGGCAUGCUUUACACAUGCAAGUCGAACGGCAGCGCGGGCCUCGGCCUGGCGGCGAGUGGCGAACGGGUGAGUAAUGCAUCGGAACGUGCCCAGUAGUGGGGGAUAGCCCGGCGAAAGCCGGAUUAAUACCGCAUACGACCUGAGGGUGAAAGCGGGGGACCGAAAGGCCUCGCGCUAUUGGAGCGGCCGAUGUCGGAUUAGCUAGUUGGUGGGGUAAAGGCUUACCAAGGCGACGAUCCGUAGCUGGUCUGAGAGGACGACCAGCCACACUGGGACUGAGACACGGCCCAGACUCCUACGGGAGGCAGCAGUGGGGAAUUUUGGACAAUGGGGGCAACCCUGAUCCAGCCAUGCCGCGUGCGGGAAGAAGGCCUUCGGGUUGUAAACCGCUUUUGUUCGGGAAGAAAUCCUCUGGGCUAAUACCCCGGGGGGAUGACGGUACCGGAAGAAUAAGCACCGGCUAACUACGUGC